rnacentral:lncRNA from 1 species
CCACGGGAGCUGCAGGGGCUGGUGAGUGCAGGGUGGGUCUGGGGUCCCUGAAAUGGAAUUAAAAAUAAAAAUUGGGGGUCUUGAGUGAAAAUUGGGGUUUAUGGAGGGAGUUGGGGGUCCCAGGGAAGGGUUUGGGGGUGUUCAGGUGCAGUUUGAGGUCCCUUAGAUGGGGAUUUGGGGUAGUGGGGUAAAUUUGAGGACCUUGAAUGCGAUUUGUGGGUUCUUUAAUUAAAUUUGGAGAUAAAAUCAGUGGCAUUUGGCAUCAUGAGGUUGGAUUUGGGGUCCUCAGAUGGGAUUUGGGGUUCAUGGGGGAACUUGGGGGUCCCAGGGAAGGGUUUGGGGGUGUUCAGGUGGAGUUUGAAGUCCCUUAGGGGAGAUUUGGGGUGGUGGGGUAAAUUUGAGGGCCUUGAAUGCAAUUCGUGAGUUCUUAAAUUGGAUUUGGAAAUAAUUAGUGGGAUUUGGCAUCAUGAGGUUGGAUUUGGGGGUCCCUGCAAUAGAGUUUGGGGUCCUGGGGUGAGAUUUGGGACCAUGGGAUGAGAUUUAAGGGUGCCAUGAUGGGAUUUGGGGUGCCGGGGUUAAUUUAAUAUUAGGAAGUUACUUGAGGGUCCUAGGGUGGGAUUUGGGGGGGAUCAAUUGUGCUUUGGGGUCCCAGGUUGGAAUUUGGUGUCCCUGGGGUGGGACUGGGGGGUCUCAGAGUGUGAUUUGAGGUUUCAGGGUGGGAUUUGGGGUCUCAAAGUGGGAUCUGGGAUCCCAGGUUGGUAUUUGGGGUGCCAAGUUGGUAUUUUGGGUUCCAUGCCGUGUUUUGAGGUGCCAGGUUGGUAUUUUGGGGUUUUAUGCUGUAUUUUGGGGUGCCAGGUUGGUUUUUGGGCUCCAUGCCGUAUUUUGGAUGCCAGGUUGGUUUUUGGGCUCAAUGCUGUAUUUUGGGGUGCCAGGUUGGUAUUUGGUGUCCCAGGUUGGUAUUUGGUUUUCCACGCUAUAUUUUGGAGUGCCAGGCUGUAUUUUGGGGUGCCAGGCUGGUAUUUGGGGUGCCAGGUUGGUUCUUGGGGUGCCAGGUUGGUAUUUGGGUCUCAGGUUGGUAUUAGGUUUUCCAUGCUGUGUUUUUGGGUCCCAGGUUGGUAUUUGGUUUUCCAUGCUGUAUUUUGGGGUGCCAGGUUGAUUUUUGGGGUGCCAGGUUAAUAUUUUGGGUUCCAUGCCGUGUUUUGGGGCUCCAUGCUGUAUUUUGAGGUGCCAGGUUGAUUUUUGGGGUGCCAGGUUGGAUUUUGUGCUCAAUGCUGUGUUUUGGGGUUCAAGGUUGGUAUUUGGGGUGCCAGGUUGGUAUUUUGGGUUCCCUGCUGUAUUUUCAAGGUUGGUAUUUGGGGUCCUAGGUUGGUUUUUGGUUCCAUGCCGU